AACAAACGCUGGCGGCGUGCCUAACACAUGCAAGUCGUACGAGAAAGUCGGCUUCGGCCGAUGAGUACAGUGGCGCACGGGUGAGUAGCGCGUGGGUAAUCUGCCCCCCGGUCAGGAAUAACCCGCCGAAAGGCGGGCUAAUACCCGAUAACACUGACGCUCCGCGGAGCGUCUUUCAAAGAAGGCCUCUGUUUACAAGCUUUCGCCGGAGGAUGAGCCCGCGUACCAUUAGCUAGUUGGCAGGGUAAUGGCCUACCAAGGCUACGAUGGUUAGCUGGUCUGAGAGGAUGGCCCGCCACACUGGAACUGAGACACGGUCCAGACUCCUACGGGAGGCAGCAGUGAGGAAUCUUGCGCAAUGGGGGAAACCCUGACGCAGCAACGCCGCGUGAGUGAGGAAGGCCUUCGGGUCGUAAAGCUCUGUCAGAUGGGAAGAAAUGGAUGGGGGCUAAUAUCGCCCAUCCUUGACGGUACCAUCAGAGGAAGCACCGGCUAACUCCGUCG
rnacentral:rRNA from 1 species